rnacentral:tRNA from 1 species
GCGGGAGUGGUGAAAUGGCAGACACGCAGGAUUUAGGUUCCUGUGCCGAAAGGCGUGAGGGUUCGAGUCCCUCCUUCCGCACGA